GAUGACAGUUGACAUAGUCGAUAUCUACUCUUCCCGCAACUGUAUAAUUUGGUUUCAUUAACCAGAAUUAUGAUUUUUUCCCCCAAAACUAUCAAACUAUCAUUAUUAUUAUAAGGUUCUAGUAAAAUUACCUUAUGGUAAAACGGUAAUUAUAGCAGAAUUUUUUCUCAUUGUGUAAAUAAACUGCAACAUACAUAAUUUUAAGUGAGCAACAUACACACUUUUCUAACAUACACACUUCUAACAUAAGCAACAUACACACUUUUUCUAAAAUAAAAAUUGUUAUAAAAUAAGAUUUAAUUCGUUACAACUGAUAAAUAUUGGUUCCACUCUAAAAAAAGACAGUCGUAGUGAUCUCUUCGAGCUAAAAAGGUAUUUAUGGAAAACCAUUGCGUUAAUUAGAAGUAAAACUAUGCAUUAAAGGUUAAAACCGUUGAUAUUAAGCAACAUUUCUCGCAAGGGAGCUCUUGGCGCCGCAUUUGUUUUGUCCAGACAGAGUAAAUAUGCAAAGAUGAGGAGCAUCUCAUUACCCUCAAGAUGAAACGAACGCUCAAGUAUCAUUUUAUGAUAGCAGGUUUUCUCCUGGUUAUAGUAACAAAAAAUGUAUCUUGUAGACCGAAAGGAAAAGGAGGAAGUUCGAAUAUUGGAAACAGUAUCAAAGGAAUAGGCAGAAGUACAAGGACAAACGGAAUAGUUAGAUCAGG